rnacentral:rRNA from 1 species
UACGUAGGGGGCUAGCGUUGUCCGGAAUCAUUGGGCGUAAAGCGCGUGUAGGCGGUCCGGUAAGUCCGCUGUGAAAGUCGGGGGCUCAACCCUCGGAUGCCGGUGGAUACUGUCGGGCUUGAGUACGGAAGAGGCGAGUGGAAUUCCUGGUGUAGCGGUGAAAUGCGCAGAUAUCAGGAGGAACACCAAUGCGAAGGCAGCUCGCUGGGACGUACUGACGCUGAGACGACGAAGCGUGGGGAGCGAAACAGG